rnacentral:ncRNA from 2 species
UUCUUAUCCAGAGAGGUGGAGGGAUAGGCCCUGUGAAACCCGGCAACCAAUACGAGAGUAUAUGGUGCCAAUUCCUACAGCGUAACAGCUGAAAGAUGAGAA